rnacentral:rRNA from 1 species
UGGGGAAUAUUGCACAAUGGGCGAAAGCCUGAUGCAGCAACGCCGCGUGAGUGAUGAAGGUCUUCGGAUUGUAAAGCUCUGUCUUUUGGGACGAUAAUGACGGUACCAAAGGAGGAAGCCACGGCUAACUACGUGCCAGCAGCCGCGGUAAUACGUAGGUGGCGAGCGUUGUCCGGAUUUACUGGGCGUAAAGGGUGCGUAGGCGGAUGUUUAAGUGAGAUGUGAAAUACCCGGGCUUAACUUGGGUGCUGCAUUUCAAACUGGAUAUCUAGAGUGCAGGAGAGGAGAAUGGAAUUCCUAGUGUAGCGGUGAAAUGCGUAGAGAUUAGGAAGAACACCAGUGGCGAAGGCGAUUCUCUGGACUGUAACUGACGCUGAGGCACGAAAGCGUGGGUAGCAAACAGGAUUAGAUACCCUGGUAGUCCACGCCGUAAAACGAUGAGUA